GAUGAACGCUAGCGGCAGGCUUAAUACAUGCAAGUCGAGGGGCAGCAUGAUUGUAGCAAUACAAUUGAUGGCGACCGGCAAACGGGUGCGGAACACGUACACAACCUUCCAACAAGUGGGGGAUAGCCCAGAGAAAUUUGGAUUAAUACCCCGUAACAUAGCGAUGUGGCAUCACAUUGCUAUUAUAGAUUUUUCGCUUGUUGAUGGGUGUGCGGCUGAUUAGAUAGUUGGCGGGGUAACGGACCACCAAGGCUACGAUCAGUAGCUGAUGUGAGAGCAUGAUCAGCCACACGGGCACUGAGACACGGGCCCGACUCCUACGGGAGGCAGCAGUAAGGAAUAUUGGACAAUGGACGCAAGUCUGAUCCAGCCAUGCCGCGUGAAGGAUUAAGGUCCUCUGGAUUGUAAACUUCUUUUAUAAGGGACGAAAAAAGGCUUUUCUAAGUCGUCUGACGGUACCUUAUGAAUAAGCACCGGCUAACUCCGUGCCAGCCGCCGCCGUAACAC
rnacentral:rRNA from 1 species